CAAUCGGCCCUUUUCAGGGCCACCAAAUGUUUCUUAACGUAUGGAU
rfam:Trichomalopsis sarcophagae strain Alberta scaffold1516, whole genome shotgun sequence.